UGGGGAAUAGUAUAAUUAAUUACAUGUCGCUUACAACGUCAAAAUAGAGGUUAAACUCUUUCUCCUA
rnacentral:tRNA from 1 species